UACUGACCAUCGACCAAUAUAUCGGUUGCAUGAUCUUUGUCCUCCUCUAUCUUGGCAUCGGCUACUAAUCUCAAUUUUCACUGUUUACUUAGUCAUCGCAUUAAAACGGUUAGUUGCAGACGUCUGCACAUCUAUCAAAUCAACCCAUUAAAGAAGAAUGUUUGAUCAUGUGCAGAGAGAGAUCACGUCAAUCUCCUAAUGCUUGGCAGAUUAACUCAAGCCAUUGAGAAAAGUGGC
rnacentral:lncRNA from 1 species